UACAGAGGUCUCAAGCGUUGUUCGGAUUCAUUGGGCGUAAAGGGUGCGUAGGUGGCGCUGUAAGUCGGGUGUGAAAUUUCGGAGCUUAACUCCGAAACUGCAUUCGAUACUGCGGUGCUUGAGGACUGGAGAGGAGACUGGAAUUCCUGGUGUAGCGGUGAAAUGCGCAGAUAUCAGGAAGAACACCCGUGGCGAAAGCGGCUCUCUGGAACGGUACUGACGCUGAGACGCGAAAGCGUGGGGAGCGAACAGG
rnacentral:rRNA from 1 species